UUUCACCUUUUUCACUCUCUUCUUCCAUUACCUUUGUCGACCGUUUCUCUUCUCUGCAACGUUACUUUCUCUUCUUUGCAACUUUUACUCUUCCAUUCCAUCGUUUUCUUCUUCCAUUCCCUUUUGCUCUUCCAUUCUAACUAUAUUUUUAAAUAAUAAAUGACGUGGGAACUCAAAAUCGAAAGGCAGUGGUGAUAAAUACUCUUAUUUUGUGGUUGUUGGUUGAAAUUGAGUGAGUGGCAAUUGGAAAAUGCAAAAGCUUAAAAGAAGAUUCCAAAGUUGUUGAGUUUCAGCAAAGAAGAAGAUGGCAAGCGUGCCUUCACCUUCCCCACCUCGCCGCUCACUCCCCUAAGAACCAGGUGAAGUUCCAUCUCCGUUGCAUCAUCAGUUACAUGCUCUUUACCCUCACCAAUUGCUCCAUGAAUACUAAGGACCUAUAUUUCAAUGCAGACAAAGCCUUGGCGAGCCAUUUUCUCACCAACAUCGCAGAUGCCUAGAGUAAAGCAUAUCAAUGGAACACAUAUGAUGAUAAGGUAUAGCUGUGAUGAAAUUCUGUCGGCUCCUCACAGUUUCUCUGAAGGUAUCAUUUGUGUUUGUGGAUGUCUGUGUGUUCUAAAUCAAAUUUGGUUCCUUUAUCAGAGAUUGGGAUUCAUUGUUUUGCUAUGGAUAUGCACAAUAUUAGGGGGAGGGUCUGAAGCUUUGUUUUCUUUAAUAUAUCUUCUUCAUAGUUUUGAUUCCUUUGGCUACAAAUGUUAAAUUACAAAACAUAAUAGAAAAAAUAACCAAACUAGAUGGUAAUGGUGAUUAAUUAAUUAUUUGGUUAAUCUGUGGAGGGUUAAAAACAACAUUUCCUAUAGAAAAGAGUUUGGAAUGUUAUAUAACUGAGUAAAUAAUGCUGAUAAUUGGCCUGUAAGAGUAUAGUGACACAUCUUAAAUAAAUAAGACUUGAAGAUCAGCAAAAGAGAGAUGACAUUGCAAUUUUGCAAUCCCCAUGUCCUAUAUCAUCCAUCAAAUUCUAUUAUUUGCCCCUCCCAAUGGAAUGAAAAUAUACGCUCCCUCAAAUGAACUCUUUGUUAAUUAGUUUUCUCUAUUAUUUGAGAAAGAAAAAUGGUCCAUCAAGCUUCAUGGCCCCAAGUGUUGAUGAAGUAGCUGAUCUGAAUGCCUCUUUAAAAGAAGAUCUCUGAUGGUCCAUUGGAAUGGUAUGAAUGGCUUCCAAGUUCCAUCCACAAAUUCUUCGCUUUGCCCACGUCUUAAAAUUCUGAUAGAAGAAUGUUUACUGCUCUUUUGGUUUCGAACCUCUCCUAGAAUAUUUAUUGCUGCUCUUCUUCCUUGAACCAUGCUUUUCCCUGCCACUUUUCCCCGCAAGCUUGCUUUGUACAAUUUGGAAUCAUGUCUUCGUGCACCAUUGAGUCUGAUCUUGAUAUGCUGAGUUAAGGGUUUAUGGUAUUUCCCGCGAAUAUAUAUGGUUAGAGUUGUGCCUAGGAUUGAGGGUUGAUGGAACACCGUAUUUGAUUCUGAUAAUGGUACAUUGCUAAAAGUUUGCUGCUAAUUUUGAUUGGUACAUUGCUAAAGUUUUAUUAUCUACAUGAUCUAGAUUUUGAUCA